UAAAGAAAGCGUAAUAGCUCACUGGUCGAGUCGGCCUGCGCGGAAGAUGUAACGGGGCUAAACCAUGCACCGAAGCUGCGGCAGCGACACUGUGUGUUGUUGGGUAGGGGAGCGUUCUGUAAGCCUGUGAAGGUGGCCUGUGAGGGUUGCUGGAGGUAUCAGAAGUGCGAAUGCUGACAUAAGUAACGAUAAAGCGGGUGAAAAGCCCGCUCGCCGGAAGACCAAGGGUUCCUGUCCAACGUUAAUCGGGGCAGG
rnacentral:rRNA from 2 species